ACAUGCAUACAACAUAGUGUUAAUGCACAAGAUCCCAUUAGAACUUCAUAGUUAAGUUGGCUCAGGCUAGAGUAGUAUUGGGAUGGAUGGACGCCCGGGAAAUCCUAGUGUUUUACAUGCC
rnacentral:rRNA from 1 species